GAAAGAAAUUACCCACCAUCUGACUGUGCAUUGUGCACUUUUUCGAACCUGAAAAUUCAAGUAUUGUAGGUCUGUUCUCGAUCACUUCUUUUCACAGAGGUUUAAUAUCUAGACAAGGAGGUUGAACGUUGCUAGUGUAAGAAGUUAGGUCGGCCAUCAUUCAACCAACCAUUACAUUUGGAACCAGCACUAAACUGUACUGACCAACUACAACAGAGAAUCCCUAGCUUGAGGUUGAGAAGGAUUGGGGUUUGUUCUCGAUCACUCUUUUCACAGAGGUUUAAUAUCCACAUGGAGGUUGAAACACUCUUAGUGUAAGAAGUUAGAUCUCAACAAUCACACUAGCAACCACCACGUAACAGGGCUGACCUGAGCACCUAACCACAUGAGUAUAUUCCUAGCUUGGGGAUAUUCACAUCAAGCAUUGUUUGGAAUAAGCGAAGGUUGAGAAGGAUUGGAG